GAACAUGACAGUUGCUAACGGCAACCGGGCGAAAGUCCAGGGAAAGUGCCACAGAAACGAUACCGCCCCUUUUGGGGUAAGGGUGAAACGAGUGACCCGCAAGGGUUGGGAGUUCUAGCGCGGCGCUUCGGCGCAAGCGUUAACUCUCAAGGUAAGAGCUCACAGCGACGUAUGGUGACAUACGGAGGAGGUAAACCCUGUCUGCUGCAAGGAGAUCUACAACAAACAGUGUCCGCUGGUAGAUCGAUAUCCGCUAGAGCCGCACAGCAAUGUACGGCGUAGAUAGAUGAUCGUCACCGUUUUUACGGGACAGAACCCGGCUUACAAGCUAGCUGCCCAC
rnacentral:RNase_P_RNA from 1 species